rnacentral:rRNA from 1 species
GACGAACGCUGGCGGCGUGCUUAACACAUGCAAGUCGAACGGAAAGGCCCUGCUUUUGUUGGGUGCUCGAUUGGCGAACGGGUGAGUAACACGUGAGUAACCUGCCCUUGACUUUGGGAUAACUUCAGGAAACUGGGGCUAAUACCCGAUAGGAGCUCCUGCUGCAUGGUGGGGGUUGGAAAGUUUCGGCGGUUGGGGAUGGACUCGCGGCUUAUCAGCUUGUUGGUGGGGUAGUGGCUUACCACGGCUUUGACGGGUAGCCGGCCUGAGAGGGUGACCGGCCACAUUGGGACUGAGAUACGGCCCAGACUCCUACGGGAGGCAGCAGUGGGGAAUAUUGCACAAUGGGCGGAAGCCUGAUGCAGCAACGCCGCGUGCGGGAUGACGGCCUUCGGGUUGUAAACCGCUUUCGCCUGUGACGAAGCGUGAGUGACGGUAAUGGGUAAAGAAGCACCGGCUAACUACGUG